rnacentral:rRNA from 1 species
CAAUAGCGUAUAUUAAAGUUGUUGCAGUUAAAAAGCUCGCAGUUGGAUUUCGGGGCAGCCUGGCUGGUCCGCCGCAAGGCGAGUACUGGUCAGCCGCCCUUCCUCUCGAAAGCCCCGACUGCUCUUUAUUGCAGUGGUCGGGUAGUUCGGGACGUUUACUUUGAAAAAAUUAGAGUGUUCAAGGCAGGCCUACGCCUGAAUACAUUAGCAUGGAAUAAUGGAAGAGGACCUCGGUCCUAUUUUGUUGGUUUCCAGGACCGAAGUAAUGAUUAAGAGGGACAGUUGGGGGCAUUCGUAUUUAAUUGUCAGAGGUGAAAUUCUCGGAUUUAUGAAAGACGAACAACUGCGAAAGCAUUUGCCAAGGAUGUUUUCAUUAA